GACGAACGCUGGCGGCGUGCUUAACACAUGCAAGUCGAACGGAAAGGCCCUGCUUUUGUGGGGUGCUCGAGUGGCGAACGGGUGAGUAACACGUGAGUAACCUGCCCUUGACUUUGGGAUAACUUCAGGAAACUGGGGCUAAUACCGGAUAGGAGCUCCUGCUGCAUGGUGGGGGUUGGAAAGUUUCGGCGGUUGGGGAUGGACUCGCGGCUUAUCAGCUUGUUUGUGGGGUAGUGGCUUACCAAGGCUUUGACGGGUAGCCGGCCUGAGAGGGUGACCGGCCACAUUGGGACUGAGAUACGGCCCAGACUCCUACGGGAGGCAGAAGUGGGGAAUAUUGCACAAUGGGCGGAAGCCUGAUGCAGCAACGCCGCGUGCGGGAUGACGGCCUUCGGGUUGUAAACCGCUUUCGCCUGUGACGAAGCGUGAGUGACGGUAAUGGGUAAAGAAGCACCGGCUAACUACGUG
rnacentral:rRNA from 1 species